AGGACGAACGCUGGCGGCGUGCUUAACACAUGCAAGUCGAGCGGAAAGGCCCUUCGGGGUACUCGAGCGGCGAACGGGUGAGUAACACGUGAGUAAUCUGCCCCUAGCUCUGGGAUAGCUCCGGGAAACCGGGAUUAAUACCGGAUACGACCACUUUAGACAUCUGUUGUGGUGGAAAGAAUUUUGGCUAGGGAUGAGCUCGCGGCCUAUCAGCUUGUUGGUGGGGUAACGGCCUACCAAGGCGACGACGGGUAGCCGGCCUGAGAGGGCGACCGGCCACACUGGGACUGAGACACGGCCCAGACUCCUACGGGAGGCAGCAGUGGGGAAUAUUGCGCAAUGGGCGAAAGCCUGACGCAGCGACGCCGCGUGGGGGAUGAAGGCCUUCGGGUUGUAAACCCCUUUCAGCAGGGACGAAGCGAAAGUGACGGUACCUGCAGAAGAAGCGCCGGCUAACUACGUCGCCGAGCAGGCCGC
rnacentral:rRNA from 1 species